rnacentral:rRNA from 1 species
UACGUAGGUGGCAAGCGUUGUCCGGAUUUACUGGGCGUAAAGAGCGCGCAGGCGGUCGUUCAAGUCGCGUGUGAAAGCCCCCGGCUCAACUGUGGAGGGUCACGCGAUACUGAUCGACUCGAAGGCAGGAGAGGGUAGUGGAAUUCCCGGUGUAGUGGUGAAAUGCGUAGAUAUCGGGAGGAACACCAGUGGCGAAGGCGACUACCUGGCCUGUUCUUGACGCUGAGGCGCGAAAGCUAGGGGAGCAAACAGG